rnacentral:lncRNA from 1 species
CAAAAAUUUUCUAAGUGACAAGCCUAGCUUUAUUCGACUCCGAAAUCCGGGCAAGCGUAGUAUAAUCUAUAGUAAUCACGACGGGCAAGGAAUCAUUUGCAUACGGCUCAGUGGUAUGAUAGCCAUGUGAAAAUGCGCUUUAAAAUCCCACUGAGCCAAACCUAUCUCCGUUAAUAUGCGUUUUGAACCUUUCUAAGUCGGUCUAUGAGGAAAAAAUUUUUUCGAUCAGCCAAAAAUUUUCUAAGUGACAAGCCUAGCUUUAUUCGACUCCGAAAUCCGGGCAAGCGUAGUGUAAUUUAUAGUAAUCGGGACGGGCA